AUGGCCAUAUCAUGUUGAAACACUGGUUCUCGUAUGUUCACUGAAGUUAAGCAAUAUUGAGCUUGGUCAGUAGCUAGAUGGAUGACAGCUUGGGAAUAUCAGGUGCUGUA